rnacentral:rRNA from 1 species
GAUGAACGCUAGCGGCAGGCUUAAUACAUGCAAGUCGUGGGGCAGCGCAGGUAGCAAUACUGGGCGGCGACCGGCAAACGGGUGCGGAACACGUACACAACCUUCCGAGAAGUGGGGAAUAGCCCAGAGAAAUUUGGAUUAAUACCCCGUAACAUAACGAUGUGGCAUCACAUUGUUAUUAUAGCUUCGGCGCUUCUUGAUGGGUGUGCGGCUGAUUAGAUAGUUGGCGGGGUAACGGCCCACCAAGUCUACGAUCAGUAGCUGAUGUGAGAGCAUGAUCAGCCACACGGGAACUGAGACACGGGCCCGACUCCUACGGGAGGCAGCAGUAAGGAAUAUUGGUCAAUGGACGCAAGUCUGAACCAGCCAUGCCGCGUGAAGGAUUAAGGUCCUCUGGAUUGUAAACUUCUUUUAUCUGGGACGAAAAAAGGCGAUUCUUCGUCACUUGACGGUACCAGAUGAAUAAGCACCGGCUAACUCCGUGCCAGCCGCCGCCGUAACAC